GUACACUCCUGCGGGAGGCAGCAGUGGGGAAUUUUGGACAAUGGGCGAAAGCCUGAUCCAGCAAUGCCGCGUGAGUGAAGAAGGCCUUCGGGUUGUAAAGCUCUUUUGUCAGGGAAGAAACGGUGAGAGCUAAUAUCUCUUGCUAAUGACGGUACCUGAAGAAUAAGCACCGGCUAACUACGUGCCAGCAGCCGCGGUAAUACGUAGGGUGCAAGCGUUAAUCGGAAUUACCGGGCGUAAAGCGUGCGCAGGCGGUUUUGUAAGUCUGAUGUGAAAUCCCCGGGCUCAACCUGGGAAUUGCAUUGGAGACUGCAAGGCUAGAAUCUGGCAGAGGGGGGUAGAAUUCCACGUGUAGCAGUGAAAUGCGUAGAUAUGUGGAGGAACACCGAUGGCGAAGGCAGCCCCCUGGGUCAAGAUUGACGCUCAUGCACGAAAGCGUGGGGAGCAAACAGGAUUAGAAACCCGUGUAGUCCC
rnacentral:rRNA from 1 species